rnacentral:rRNA from 1 species
CAGUAGCCGCGGUAAUACGUAGGGUGCGAGCGUUAAUCGGAAUUACUGGGCGUAAAGCCUGCGCAGGCGGUUAUAUAAGACAGAUGUGAAAUCCCCGGGCUCAACCUGGGACCUGCAUUAGUGACUGUAUAGCUAGAGUACGGUAGAGGGGGAUGGAAUUCCGCGUGUAGCAGUGAAAUGCGUAGAUAUGCGGAGGAACACCGAUGGCGAAGGCAAUCCCCUGGACCUGUACUGACGCUCAUGCACGAAAGCGUGGGGAGCAAACAGGAUUAGAUACCCCCGUAGUCCCUGUCUCUUAUAC